UACGUAGGGGGCUAGCGUUGUCCGGAAUCAUUGGGCGUAAAGCGCGUGUAGGCGGUCCGGUAAGUCCGCUGUGAAAGUCGGGGGCUCAACCCUCGAAUGCCGGUGGAUACUGUCGGGCUAGAGUGCGGAAGAGGCGAGUGGAAUUCCUGGUGUAGCGGUGGAAUGCGCAGAUAUCAGGAGGAACACCAAUAGCGAAGGCAGCUCGCUGGGACGUUACUGACACUAAGGCGCGAAAGCGUGGGGAGCGAACGAGG
rnacentral:rRNA from 1 species